UGAUCCCAGCAGUUCCUGUGGUGCCUGUUGGAGGGGAGUCAUGUGCCCAAGAGGCCUUGCAGGAGCUAUUGCCAUCACAGAGAGUAGUUUGAGAGCCAAAUUAGCAAUCAACAUUACCCAAAAGCGCCACAGUAGUGUGAAUUCAUUGUUUCAUUGACUAUAGUACUGUAUAGUCAUAUUAGUCUCACAGCAAAAUGACUGACCAAGUAUUAUUAUUUUAUCAACUACAACUGGUUAAUGAUAUAGUAAAAGCAUCCUGAUUAGUUAAUAAUUAAAUCACACAGCGUUUUAAUAUCAUGUGCUGCAAAGAGCUGCUAGAGACGCAUUAAAGAAUCACUUGCAGUUCCCAAGCCUCAGUCUGAAUAUCAUGGGGUAGAGGUACCUUCAUGAGGCACCAGACAGGAGGGGACCAGUAGGGAGCAGGGAGAGCAGCCAGAUUUCCAACCUCACUGCAGGUAACUCUUGCUACUGUCAGGAAGUGGAGAAAAGUGACUUGGCUCCUUUGUCUGCUGCUUCACAUUCCAGUUCCCAUGGUGAAUUAUGAAGCUAACCAGUGUCAGAGCAACCCCAGCAGAGAGACAGGCAGUAGCAGCCUUCUGUGCCAGCCACUAGCAGACAUGGCCUUUCCCUCUCCUCAGAUGUUGUUUGGCCCCAUAAUCUCUCUGCUAUCCUGACCCAGCCAAGGCCCUGCACUUCGCUGGGGAGAAGAGAGGCAGGGCAUGGAGGAACAAGCUGUUCCCUCAUUUCAAGGAAGGAACAUAACCCCACAGCCGUGAUUGCAGUUACCAAGCACAUCAAAGACUAAAUUUCCUUUACAGUGCAUAGUCCCCAUCCAGUGACAAUACCUCUGCUAAACUGUGCUGGCAAGAGUCCCAGUUGGAGACAUCUGUUCUGCACAUACUAACGAGGGGCGCUGCAUGGAGAGAAUUAUAGGUCUCUGCCCUGCAAUUACAGCCCUUACUUUGUCAUUUUGCUUCUCUUCUUGUGGAAUCAGUCAGCGAUCUGUACUUGCUUUGUGUUAUUAGUUAUCCCCCCUCCCCAGGCUGCUGAGAGCUUGCUGCAGCUUGCCCCUGGCUGCUUUAGCAGGGCUGGCAGACGUGCUGCCUCCCUCCAUAUGACGUGGAUUCAGCAGCUGCUAAAGUUUCCCUAGCCAAAAGCCAGGGCCGGCUCCAGCAUUUCUGCCGCCCCAAGCAAAAAAAGCCACGAUCGGCUAGAGGAGUGAGGGACCUGCCGCCCCCAAAUUGCCGCAGGUGCGCCCCUCUCCCUUGGCUGCCCCAAGCACCUGCUUGUUAAGCUGGUGCCUGGAGCUGGCCCUGCCAAAAGCAUCAGGCACCAGGGGUCACUUCUGGGAAAUGCCUGCAUGUGUUCAGCAGUGCUGGGAGGUAGACCUUGAAGGUUCAAUAACUUCU
rnacentral:lncRNA from 1 species